GAUGAACGCUGGCGGCGUGCCUAAUACAUGCAAGUAGAACGCUGACGGAGGAGCUUGCUCUUCUGGAUGAGUUGCGAACGGGUGAGUAACGCGUAGGUAACCUGCCUGGUAGCGGGGGAUAACUAUUGGAAACGAUAGCUAAUACCGCAUGACAACAGUUAUUGCAUGAUAACUGUUUAAAAGGGGCAACUGCUCCACUACCAGAUGGACCUGCGUUGUAUUAGCUAGUUGGUGAGGUAACGGCUCACCAAGGCGACGAUACAUAGCCGACCUGAGAGGGUGAUCGGCCACACUGGGACUGAGACACGGCCCAGACUCCUACGGGAGGCAGCAGUAGGGAAUCUUCGGCAAUGGACGGAAGUCUGACCGAGCAACGCCGCGUGAGUGAAGAAGGGUUUCGGAUCGUAAAGCUCUGUUGUAAGAGAAGAACGAGUGUGAGAGUGGAAAGUUCACACUGUGACGGUAUCUUACCAGAAAGGGACGGCUAACUACGUG
rnacentral:rRNA from 1 species